UCGACCUUCCCAUUGAUAGAAACAGGUGCAUGUGGCAAUGUCCCUAAAUAAAAAAAAAUAUAAAGUAAACAGAAAAAAAUGCUUCACUUUUCAAUCUUUAACUUCCCCUCCCCCUUCCAAAUUUUUUUUCUACUGUAUUAAUUUUUUAAGACAUGUCGCAUCUACACAAAGUCUUAUUGAUCUGCAGCUUACCCCUCCCCCUAUUAGUUUUGGUAUAUAUGAUCUACAUUAAAUUCGAUCCAAAAAUAGUCACUAGAAAGGCAUACAGUAACAUAUCUAAAUAGUUGCAAUAAAUUCCAUUAACC
rnacentral:lncRNA from 1 species